GGCCGGCUGGCGCAAUGGUAGCGCAUCAGACUUCUACCUUCUCUUCUCCGGAGAUGUGGUUAUCUGGGGGUUGUGGGUUCGAGCCCCACGUUGGUCA
rnacentral:tRNA from 1 species